AGUGAUGGAAAUAUAAUAAAUAUGGCCAAUAUUUCUCAAAUAAGUUUCAUGGGAACUGCUGUUUUCUUGGUACUUGCACAAAUCUUUCUCUAUUGCUUGGGCGGAGAUUUAAUAGCAGUACAUUACGACGAGGUAUACCGUACUAUUUGCGAUCUUAAGUGGUACAUAUUGGAGCGACGCCAGGCAAGAAACCUUAUUCUACCAAUGUUAGUAACUGAGAAACCUUUUUGCAUCACUGCAGGAAAAAUGUUUCCACUAACAAUGUCCACUUUUUGCAGUCUAUUAAAAACAGCGGCCGGAUAUAUAUCUCUUCUACUAACAAUGCAGAAUUAAAAUUCAGUACAUUUAGCAUUAGAUAAUUUUGAACA